rnacentral:lncRNA from 10 species
GGAAACACUGUUUUUGUAGAAUCUGCAAAAGGACAUUUGGGAGCUCAUUGUGGCCUAUGGGGAAAAAUCGAAUACCCCAAGAUAAAAACUAUAAAGAAUCUAUCUGUGAAACUGUUUUCUGAUGUGUGGAUUCAUCUCACAGAGUUAAGCCUUUCUUUUUUUCAUUUUUAUUAUUAUACUUUAAGUUUUAGGUUACAUGUGCAGAACGUGCACACAUAGGUUUAUUGUGGCACUAUUCACAAUAGCAAAGACUUGGAACCAACCCAAAUGUCCAACAAUGAUAGAUUGGAUUAAGAAGGCUCUCUUUUAAUUAAGCAGAUGGAAAACACUUUUUUUUGGAGAAUCUGUGAAGGGACAUUUGAGAGGUUAUUGAGGUCUAUAGGUAAAAAGAGAUUAUACUCAGAUAAAAACUAGAAAGAAGAUAUUUUUGAAACUGCUUUGUAACGUGUGGAUUCAUAUCACAGAGUUAAAUUUUUGUUUUAAUUCAACAUGUUGGAAACACUUUUUUGUAGAAUCUGUGAAGGGACAUUUGAGAGCUUAUUAAGGCCUAUGGGGAAAAGGAGAAUAUACUCAGAUAAAAACUAGAAAGAAGAUAUCUGUGAAAGUUCUUUGAAAUGUGUGGAUUCAUAUCACAGAGCCAAACCUUUCUUUUGAUUCAAUAGGUUGGAAAUACUCUUUUUGGAGUUCUGCAAAGGGACAUUUGGGAGCCAAUUGAGGCCCAUUUGGAAAAACCUAAUAUUCUCAGAUAAAAACCAGAAAGGAGCUAUCGGUGAAACUCAUGCGAGAUGUGUGGAUUUGCCUCACAGACUUUAACCUUACCUUUGAUUCAGCAGGUUGGAAACACUCUUUUUAAAUGUCUGUGAAAGGACAUUUUGGAGCCCAUUGAGAACUAUGGAGAAAAAACGAAUAUCCCCAGUAAAAAACUAGAAAGAAGCUAUCCAUAAAACUGCUUUGUGAUAUAUGGAUUCAUCUAACACAGGAAACACUCUUUUUGGAGAAUACAUUUGCCAGCCAAAAGAGACCUAUGGUGAUAAACCACAAUUCCUCAGAUAAAAACUAGAAAGAAACUGUGUAACUGCUUUUUGAUUUGUGGAUUCAUCUUACACAGUUGAACUUUCCUUUUUAUUCAGUGGGUUGGAAACACUCUUUUUGUAGAAUCUGUUAAAGGACAUUUGGGAAACCAUUUAGGCCUAUAGUGAAAAAUCGAAUAUCCACUGAUAAAAACUAGAAAGAACUUAUCCGUGAAUCCUCUUUGUGAUGUGUGGAUUCAUCUCACAGAGGUAAAGUUUUCUUUUGAUUCAGCAGGUUGCAAAAACUCUUUUUAUGGAAUCUGUGAAGGAACAUUUGGGAAUCCAAUGAGGCCUAUGGGGAAAACAUGAAUAUACCCAGAUAAAAACUGGGAAGAAACUAUUCGUGGAACUGCUUUGUGAUGUGUGUACUCAUCUCACAGAGUUAAAACAUUCCUUUGAUUCAGCAGUUGGGAAACACUCUUUUUAUAGAAUACACGAAUGGAUACUUGGGAGUCAAUUGAGCGUAGGGGAAAAACACAAUAUCCCCAGAUAAAAGCUAGAAAGAAGUUAUCUGUGAAACUGCUUUGUGACAUUUGGAUUUAUCUCAGAGUUAAAAUUUUCUUUUGAUUCAGCAAGUUUGAAACACUCUUUUUGUAGAAUCUGUGAGGAGACAUUUGGGAGCCCUCUGAGGCCUAUGAGGAAAAACCAAAUAUCCUCAGACAAAAACUAGAAAGAACCUAUCUGAGAAACUCCUUUGUGAUAUGUGGAUUCAGCUCAGAGAGUUAAAGUAUUAUUUUGUUUCAGCAGGUUGGAAACACUCUUUUUGGAAUAUGCAAAGGGACAUUCUGCAGUUCAUUGAGUAAUAAGGGAAAAAAGGGGUAUUCCCAGUUAAAACUAGAAAGUGGUUAGUUAUCCAUGAAACUGCUCUGUGGUGUGUGGAUUCAUCUCACAGGGUUAAAACUUUCUUUUGAUUCAGCAGGGUAAAGACACACUUUUUGAAGAAUCUGUGAUGUAACAUUUGGGAGCCCAUUGAGGCCUAUAAGGAAAAACUACAUAUCCCCAGAUAAAAACUAGAAAGGCGCUAUCUGUGAAUCUGCUUUUUGAUGUGUCGAUUCAUCUAACUGAGUUAAAACUUUCAUUCAACACAGCAGGUUGGAUACACUGUUUUUGGAGAAUGUGCAAAGGGACAUGUGAGAGCCCAUUGAGGCCCAUGGAGAAAAACAGAAUAUCCCCAAAGAAAAACUAGAAAGAAAAUACCUGUGGAACUGCUUUGUGAUAUGUGAAUUCAUUUCAGAGCAUUAAACCUUUCUUUUGAUUCAGUAGGUUGGAAAAACUGUUUUGGAAAAUCUGCAAAGGGACAUUUGGGAGUCCAUUGAGCACGAUAAGGUAAAAUCAAAUAUUUCCAGAUGAAAACUAGAAAGAAGCUAUUGGAGAAAUUAGAUCAUGAUGCAUAUAUUCACCUCACAGAGUGAAACCUUAAUUUUGAUACAGUAGUUUGGAAACACUCUUUUUAAAAGAUAAGGGAAGGGAUAAUUGGGAGCCCAUUGAGGGUUAAGGGAAAAACCAAAUAUCCAAAGAUAAGAGCUAGAAAAAAUCUAUCUGUGAAAAUGCUUUGGGAUGUGUGGGUUCAUCUCACAGAGUUAAAGCUCUUUUUGAGUCAGUAUGCUGGAAUCACUCCUUUUCUAGAAACUGCAAAGGGCCAUUUUAGAGGCAAUUGGGGUCUAUGGGGAAAACCUGAAUAUUCCCAGGUAAGAACUAUAAAGAAGUUAUUCAUGAAACUGCGUUGUGAUGUGUGGAUUCAUCUCACAGAGUUGAACCUUUCUCUUGUUCAAGCAGGUUGGAAACACUCUUAUUGUGGAAUAUGUGAAGUGACAUUUAUGAGCCCUUUGAGGCUUGUGGGGAUAAACUGAAUAUCCCCAGAUAAAAACUAGACAGAAGUUAUCCUUGAAUCCACUUUGUGAUGUGUGGAUUCACCUCACAGAGAAUCUCUGAAGAGAAAUUUGGGAGCCCACUGAGAGCAUUGGGGAAAAACAGAAUAUUCUCAGAUAAAAACUAGAAAAAGCACUAUUUAAAACUUCUUUGUGAUGUGUGGAUUCAUCUCACAGAUUUAAAUCUUUCUUUUGAUUCAACACCUUGUAAAAUCUCCUUUAUAGAAUCUGCAAAGGGACAUUUGGCAGCUUAUUGAGGACUAUGGGGAAAAACGGAAUAUCCCUAGUUAAAAACUAGAAAGACACUAUCUGUGAAACUGCUUCAGGAUGUAUGGAUUCAUCUAACACUGUUAUACCUUUCUUUUGAUUCGGCACAUUGGAAUCACUCUUUUUGGAGAAUCUACAAAGGGACAUUUAGGUGCUCAUUGUGGUCUAUGGGGAAAAACAGAAUAUCCCCAGAUGAAAACUAGAAAGAAACUAUCUGUGAAGCCACUUUGAGAUGUGUGGAUUCAUAUCACAGAGCUCAACCUUUCUUUUGAUUCAGCAAGUUGGAAACACUCUUUAUACAGAGUAUGUGAAGGGACACUUGUGAGCCCAUAUGGGCCCUUGGGGAAAAAGUGAAUAUUCUCAGAUAAAAACUAGGAAGAAGCUAUCCAUGAAAUUACUUUGUGAUGUGUGAAUUCAUCUCACAGUUAAAUAUUUCUAUUUGAUUCAGCAGGUUGGAAACACUCCUUAUGUAGAUUCUGUGAAGGGAUAUUUGGGAGCUUAUUAGAACUAUGGGGAAAAACAAAAUAUCCCCAGAAAAAAAUGAGGAAGAAACUGUCUGUGAAAAUGCUUUGUAAUGUGUGGAUUCAUCUUACAGAGUGAAACAUUUCUUUUGAUUCAGCAGGUUGGAAACACUGUUUUUGGAGAAUCUGCAGAGGGACAUUUGGGAUCCAAUUUUGGUUUAGGUGGUAAAACGGAAUACUAUCAUAUAAAAACUAGAAAGAAGACAUCUGUGGAACUGCUUUGUGAUGUGUGGAUUUAUCUCAUAAUGUUAAGCCUUUUUUUUUAUUCAUCUCAUAGGAAGCACUCUUUUUAGAGAAUCUGUGAAGGGACAUUUUUGUGCACGAUGAGGCCUAAAUCAAAAAAAACCUGAAUAUCCCCAGAUAAAAACUAGAAAGACACAAUUCAUGAAAUCAUUUUCUGAUGUGUGGAUUCACAUCACAGAGUUAAACCUUUCUUUUGAUUCAGGAGGUUGGAAUCACUGCUUGGGAGAAUCUGCAAAGGGACAUUUUGGAGCCCAUUGUGGCCUAUGGCAAAAUGUGAAUAUCCCCAGAUAAAAACUAGAAAGAAGCUAUCUGUGAAUCUGCUUUGAGAUGUGUGGAUUCAUCUCACAGAGCUAAAUCUUUCUCUUGAUUUAGCAGGUUGGAAACACUCUUUUUGGAAAAUCUGCAAAGGGACAUUUUGGAGCCUAUAUGGGCCUAUGGGGACAAACUGAAUACCCUUAAAAAAAAACUAAGAAGAAGCUAUGCAUGAAAUUGCUUUGUGACGUAUGGAUUCUUCUCACAGAGGUAAACGUUUCUAUUGAUUAAGCAGGUUGAAUACACUCCUUUUGUAGAAUCUGCGAAUGGACAUUUUGGAUAUUAUUGAGAACUAUGGGGAAAAACAGAAUAUCUCCCCCCUCCCCCCCCAAAAAAAACUAGAAAGAAGCUAUGUGUGAAACUGCAUUGUAACUUGUGGAUUCAUCUCACAGAGUUAAACCUUUCCUUUUUGACUCAGCAGGUUGGAAACACUCUUUUUGGAGAAUCUGAGAUGAGAGAUUUGGGAUCCCAUUGUGGUUUAUGGGCAAAACGGAAUACUCUCAGAUAAAAACUAGAAAGAAGCUAUCUAUGAAAAUGCUUUGUGAUGUGUGGAUUCAUCUCACAGUGUUAAAACUUGCUUUUGGUUCAUCACGUUGGAAACACUCUUUUUAGAGACUCUGUGAAGGGACAUCUGAGUGGUCGAUAAGACCUAGAUCAAAAAAAUUAAUACCCUAGAUAAAAACUAGAAAGAAGCAAUCUGUGAAACUGCUUUGUGAUGUGUGGAUUUAUCUCACAGAACUACAACUUUCUUUAGAUUCAGCUGGUUGGAAAC